GCGGCCGCGCGGGGCCAGCUGCCCUGGACGCCCGCCUCCCCAGGUGCCGGCGCGGCCCGGAGACUCCGCCGCUCCAAGUUCGCCCGCGGUCGCACGAGCUUGAACGCAUCCCGCAGUUGGCGGACAGCCAGUUGGUCUCAGUGAAGGAGUUUGGGUGUUUCUCAUGAAGUACCACCGAUCCCUAUGAGAAAUAUGUUUGUAGUGCUCCACGCCUGCUUGGAGAGUCCAAGAACUGCUGAAAACUGAUGGCCCUUGUCCAAGACAACAGGAAAUUUUCAGGUCACGUGUUUCCUUUCCAGAGAGUUGUUUUGUGGAUACAAUGGAGUCUUUAGCAUUCACAAGAUUUAGAGGACUUCAGCAUAAUUUUAUUUUCACAUACCAACAAUCACUUACGGCAACCCUCAGCAUGGGACAUGGGUCUGGCUGCUGAAAGAAGUGUCCAUGCAAAUCUCAUUCUCUAUUUUCUGUAAUCACCACCUGAAAUACAUCAUAUCCUGCAGUAGCUUCCUACAAAAGACACAUGAGAGCCGGAUAAUUGGUGGUGAACCUGCCAACGUCACUGAGGAGAAUGUUUCAGAAGUGAUCUCAGAGUUGCCUCCAUAAACAAGAGUGGCUCAAGACAGAGCAGAGGAGCAAGCUGCAGAACCAUAGUUGAGACUGAGGAACACUUCAGGAGUACAUGGUAACGUGCCAGGAGGCACCAAGAGCCACCAGAGGAACAGUCUACAUUUUCCUAUAACGAAAAUUUUACUUGCUCUCAUGUAUGGAAAACACGCUCUUUGUAUUCAAUAGCACAGAUAUAUUGCGAAGUAGAAUUUAAACGUUGCAUGAAUUUUAAGGUAAGAUAUUAGAAUGCAAUGAGAGGCUGCCUGGAGGUUGGGACAGGAUUCUCCCCUCCGCUGCUCAGGGUACUCGGGAGUAAACACUGGAGAAGCAGUGCCGCAAGCACCAGAGAUGCUGACACUGUCCUUUCACAUCUACCAUGAAGCAAAGCUACUCAUGUCCAGCAACAAGAAGGUAUAGCGAUGCCACAUGGAGCCACUCCGAGUACUGCAGGUCACACAAAGCACACUGCUGACGCUGACCUUAGCCAGUGGGAAAAGCAAACCGCAGGGGCUAGAGUCCAAAAACCCGGGUUCAAGUGCUACUCUGUCUCCUCCAGGCUCUAAGGUGCUAGACGAAGCUCUUAACCAGACUGUGAGAGAGAUCUCCCUGCAGCACCUGUCACCCCGUGGGUCCUCAAGAAAUAUUUGACUGUAGAGCUGGCCAGGCAGGUUCCACUUCCACCCACGUGCUGCACAAGGAUCUCUUCAAAGCUGAGCCCUGGGCGGAAGAGUAAAACCUUUUCACAUAAAGGUGGGAAGAGUCCUUUCUGCUAAUGGCUUAGAACAAGUCAUUUAUGUCCUCUAAGCUCAACUUCUUCUGAAGAGUGGGACUCAUAAUAACAAUACCUCCCUAAGAGGGUUAUUCUGAGGAUGAAAUGAGACGUGAGAAUCCUGGAUAAACACACCUCCUCUUAUGUAACAAUGAGAAUGAUCAUUUUUAUAAUC